UAGCAGAAAUUCUAGCAUUAAUUAGAUCUCAAACGGAUUCAUUUAAAGAAGUUAUAACUCCACCACCUGCAGGACGUCAUUCACCAACGUGGUUGAACGACAGGUUUACGACAAUACGGUUUCGGGAAACAGUCGUGACUAGCUAGAUGAUUUGUUCAACGAUGCAUCGUACUAUGGUAGUUCAGCAGCGAGUUACAUCGUUGUUUUGGGAAACGCACCCCAGAUGUUUAGAUUAGCUACCAGUGAAGAAGAAAUCCACUGAAAAUGCUGGAGGUUCUGCAUUUUCAAAAAACAAACAACAAAGUGCAGAUACGAUGUAAAUAAGAGAUUCAUUUGACAGUGUAGACAGCUUCAUUCAUAUAGCAGGAGUUCUUACGAGAGACCCUUGUUCAGAUGACUUGAAAUAUAGUGAACACAUUAACUAUUUUAUGGUAUGGUAUGAUGCUUUUUUUGUUCUUUUUGGCAAUCCAUGAUCACAUAGGGGUUUCAAUGUUAACAUGCAAAUGGGACAAUCAUUCAUUGAGUAUCUUAAGAGGAGAUUAAAAAGGCAUAUUAGAGAUCAAGUUCUAAUUAUGGCAUCUUUUAGAUCUGCUAAGUGGUCAUUUCUGUUUCAUAAUUCAUAUAUUCAUAUAUUAGAUGUACACGUGCUAUUCCAAGCACAAGCUUAGUUAGAGCUGGCACGUACAAAGAGUCCCUGAAUUCAUUCAUAAUUCAUCUUUCAUUUUUUACUGCCACCUAUGUGCUUCUGUCCAGUUCAAUGGCUCCGCCAGAGUGUCUGCAGCUAGUGAAGUGUCAUCAUGUCUGGGUUGAAAACAUGUUCGCAGGGUGAAGCGUGGUGUGGUUGGCAAGCCUCACCAGCAAGUGCAAAUGAUUCGGAUGCCAGGAAAGCAUGCCCUGAUCCGCACCAGACAUGCACACGCAAACCUCUGCACUACAUACCUGCAUUUAAACUCUGAUACAUGCACAUGGACAAACACACUCUCACACAGAAGGUGACCAAGAAUCUGGGUCCAAUGGGCGAGUGGAUCAGAGGAGGAGAUGGAGGCAAUAUGUGAGGAGUUGACAUCUUCAAACACAAGACCUGUUGUCACCUCAAGGCCUCUCCUGACCCGUCUGACCUGAGAGAAGCCAGGAAACUAGGGCAGUGGAGAGAGCCUGGAUACAGUGAGGAUCUGUGAGAAGAGGCAGAGGGAUAUGUAAUCGAAGAGGCCAGCAACUCUUUAUAAAUAGGCUUGGGUCACUAUCAUUGUAAAGUGAGGAGGAAUCUGAUCCUAGAUCAGUUUGCCCAGACUUUCAUGAACACGGGCACACCCAGGAUGAACCCAGAGAGGUGCAGACAACCAUUUUGCUUGAUGGUAAGGGAGAGACAGGGAGCGUGAGGGAUGGAUAUGAGGUUAUAGAUAGACAAUCUGUGGGUGAGGGACAGCCUCACUUCUUUUAAAUGUUCUUCUAUGACAGAUGUGAGACACUCAAAAGAGAGGGUGGUGGUGCAAAACUUUCUGGAUUAGAUCAUCACGUUGAAAAGGUAUGUCAAGCCUGUACUUUAAUAAGUAUUAUUUGAACUUAAAGGAUGGAUAAAUUACCAAAAAAAAGCAGAAAGAAAAAGGUCUAGUGCAGCAAUUACAGUUUCAUCAAUCCAACUUCAACGCGGGAGUCACUUUGGAUAAGCGACCUACUGGAUUUAUAAACCUGGGUUAAGAUGCAUAUUGCGCAACCUGACGGUUUCUUUUCUUCUUUUUUUUAUCGUUCGCAUUACACUGCAAAUAUGACAAGUGUGGACACAAAACAGUCAAUGUAUUAAGCUUUUUGUAAUUUCAGUGUCUUCUAUUUUAACAAGCUGUAAAAAAAGAAGCUCUUAAUAUUUUGUUUCAGCCCUCCUUUUUAUUUCAAGCCACAUCUGCAUAAGUUUAGGUUUAACUGUCCAGCCCACAAAUCAACUUUGACUCGAUUUGAGGACAUAUAAUUAGCCUUCAUAUAAUUACACUAAUCCAUAUAUGCCAGAAAUUAUUUAAUUGUUAUUUUAUGUUUGGCUCGUAAUGUAGAUGAUUCUCGAUGCCACUGCCUCAAGCAAUUUUCGUGCACAUAACGAAUAUAACAACACAAAAAAUUACGUUUUCUUCUUCUUCAGUUUUUCCAUAACACAAAAAGAGCGUAAAGUACAUCUCAUUGUCUAGGUGUAUUUAAACUUUUUUCCCUUUAUAUUAAUUGCGGUCACUUUUGAAUCGCCGGAGACGAAAAGUUGGCGACAGCUCCCUGUAAACGGAUAUAAACAAGAUUCAUAUCUUUAGAUUGCUCGAAUCACACAUCCAAAUCUUUACGACACGUCUGAAAUACCCGUCUAAAAUACCCUCAAACGUGGCUAACAUUAUCAUGGUUCAGCGUCAAAAAAUACAUAUAGGGACAUCGUAUUCAUGGCAUUCUCAUUAAUACAAUUCCCUGUAAGACUAAAGCUCAUACACUGUUUAUUUUAGCGGGUACAGCUCAAUCACUUAAGUCCAAUUAUAUCUAAUAACCAAGUGAAAACGAUUCAUUUUUAAAUGAAUUCCAAAAAGCCGUUCAUUUUGUAAAAAAAAACAUUAUCUUAAAAACAUGUUUAUGGUUUAAUCUGCUAAAAAGUCUGUCAUAGGUAACAGUUAUUGUUGUAAGGUCUUCGUGUAGCAAAGAAAUGUUUCUGUUUCAUAGAAAUACAACGCAUUUGACGUCACAGUGUCCUUCCGCAAAAACGAAUUCACACUAAUUCGUUCAAGUAUGACAAGACAAUUUGUCUUAUUUGCUGAGAUUACUGUUGUUAUUUUUCACAGGCAGAUUUCUCACAGAUACCUGUCCAAUACUCUCACUAAAUUGUACUCUUCCAGAGCAAUGUUGAACUCUCUAUACAUCGAUGUUUGUCAUUUUUAAGAUUUGAUAUUUUACAUUGAUGCGCAUUUUUAUGAUCCGUUCUGUGUCCUAGUCGUCAGUUUACGGGCAAACACUUAUUCAACAUUUUUCAUUUAGCUAGCUAUUCCAAAACAAAAAGAAAAUGAUAACAUAUUAGUUAUGUUCAACUCAUGUUAAACUUAAAAGAGAAUAUACAGUUUUCUUGGAUGAAAACUGGAAGAACAUAUUAUUAUACUCUUAAACAUUAUGAUCGCAAAUAAUAUUUCAUUUUUUAUUUUUUUAACCUGUUGCACUAAAAUGUAAAUGCCCAGCUAUUAUUUUAUAGCAUAUAAACAUUAUUCCGUACUGGGAUCCUCGAUCCUGUUGUGAGGCAAAUACAAAUAUAGUCGUUCUCGUCAAUUAAGUUUUAGCAGUCGCCACAAUUUAUUGUCUUCAGGUCUUUACCACCAAAAAUAUUGUCAGAAGUACCAUCCGCAUAAAUUAACACGUGUGGUCCUCGGUUGAACUUUUGCGUCCUUGUCGAGACAGCUCUCUAAAAAGUUCUCCUGUGGGCCUCAAGGACAUCCGUAAUUUAUCAGAGAACAAUCUUUAUUAGGCUAAAUGAAAGACAAUUAAUUUUGUACAGCAUGUAAACUUACGCUUCAUUUCAAAGUGCGUUUGUUAUUGUGUGUUUUCAAAAAAAAAAAGUAAUAUGACUGCUAUGAGCAUGAAAAGCUGUGAAAUUACCUCGCGGCGUAAAUUACACCUCGUUAUUGUCAGAUAUGUGUAGGCCUAUAUACAAGUAAAUUGUUGUUAAACACGGACAUUGCAAUAGGUUAUACCCGAACUUUCUUACACGUUUCUAACUGUGGUUUUCUAACAUGGUAGACACCUUAAAAGUUGACCUCUGUGUUAAAAAAAAAGUUCUGACGCUGUUCAGUUGCAGGUUUAGCUAUGUUUAUGUGCUUACUUCUUGAGUUGUAACAUCUAAAAAAGACUCGAUGGGUGAGAGUGCACUUUAAGUUUUGGGCCAAGGUCAACUCAGGCCCUGGUGCACUGUCACUGCUGAUGACCCCUCCUCAAAUAUGUGUGUGUGUUUUUAAAUCACUCUCACAAAUAAUAAAGUCUGACUAAAUAUAUUUGUAAAAUCUAUUUGAUCCAUCUGCAAAAUGCUUUGUUUAACUAUCAACAACUCUUCACAAUGAGGACAUUUGUCUUUGUGCGAUUCGAGCCAAACCACAGCCUACGGAUUUCAAAUAAUAUCUGAAUUAAAUCAUGAAGAUGGCUUUGUUGGCUUUAAUUGCAUACAACAAUUUGUUAUCUAAUUGAGUAUCUAUCGGACUCUUUAUUGGCCGCGGAGUGAAGCAGAAAAGCGACAAGCAAACUCCGUGAUGCAACUCUGUUGUAACUGGAGCAAUGGUCCGGUUGAUUCAGUAGGACACGCAUGCAUCACUACAUAAAGUAAUUAAAUUUAAUGCAAACUAUACUGUAUACAUGCAUGCAUACAUUGAAACUACUUACAUAGUAUCUUUUAACAGCCUGUCUGUCACCAUACGCCAGAACUUUGUCGCCUACAACUGUAUGGUUACCAUGCACUGAUUAAAUAUUUAAAAAAAAAAAAACUUCAAAGGCAUGGUAUAAUUAUCUACAUUACCAAUACAUGAAUACAAAAAAAAGAUGUAUACACAUAUAUAUGCACAUAUACAUAAUAAAGAUAUCCGUUUUCGCUGUCACAGUAUAAGCUACUCGAGCUUUGUCAUCGCAGCGCUUUGGUGAAGACUUGCCUGGCACUUCGCGCUUCCUACCCAGCGAGCGCGUAUCUUGCCCCGUACGAGUUGAGCUGUACAGUGAGUGGGGACACGUGAUCUCAUCUGAUCCCGUCGAUUUUGUUAUAGGGUGGAGGGUCUGGGUUUUGUGUACAUAAGGUCGUGUGCUGCUCGCUUCUUUUUCUCUCUCUCUCUCUCUCUCUCUCUCUCUCUCUCUCUCUCUCUUACUCCAAGUGCCACCGCUCCGCCUCCUCUUUUCGCAACAUUGACGCAAUGUAUAAAUGCUGGAACAAAAGGACAACUUCCUUGAAGCUUGGCGUAAUUGCAAUAAUAGAGAUAGAGAAGGGCUUCAUUGACACAGUGAUGGGAGUCCGGCGUUCUACCGGAAUAUCUAUACCGCCGCUUCUUUGGCUCGACGCACACGUUAAAUGGAAUUGCACUUUCCAGUUUAUUCCAAGCCUGAAGAAAGGAAUGUAGAGCACACGGCAUGACACUGAGCUGUGACAAAGUCAAGUAACUAUUGCGAAACGAGGACCGUGUAUGUGCGGCUGUGUGGGCGCGCGCCUCGCGUGAGUGCGUGUGCGCGCGCUCUGUGCGGGGCCUGUCGGUACUGUAGCAGCACAGAAUGGUUUGUGAGUUAUAACGGGG